GCCGUGAGUCGACGAAGGGAGCGCGGGCGCGCGCCCGCGUCCGCGCACUGAGAGUCGCCUCGGCCGCUCGCUUUCUCGACUCCCGCCUCGCGCCUCGAUCCUGUUCCGCCUCCCUCGGCCCUCCUGCCCGCCCCCACUCGUCGGCCCUCAGGUUCCUGGAAAGUGAAAAUUUCAUUUCUUUGUGGACAGCUCAGAGACCUAAUAGGAUGGGGUCUUAGAGAAACAUCUUUUGAGCCACAGACUUCUUUGUUACCAGAAGGAAAAUGAAAGAAGAAAUUUAAAUACCACUUGAAGAGAGAGAGUGUGAAGAAAUGACCCUGAAAAGCCUCUGGCAGAGGAUUCUUCUUUCAGGAUGGUGUCGCCUCCUCAGCAGCCCAUCCUCCUCCCCUGGACUCAAGCUCUCAUUCCAGUAACACUCCUUCCUCCUUCUCCAUCUUCAGGGGGAGGUUUGCCAGUCGGUGCUGCCCAGUUCAUGAGUGCUGCUGCUGUCCUGCCCAAGUACCCAGCUUGCAGAGUGCCAGAGUUAGAGUCCCAGGGGUGUUCUCCACAGCUGCAUGCUUGAUCCAGGCCUAUCAGGUGUUAUUUGUUGACGGAACCAGGCAUCAUCAGCAAACAAAACUGACAAAGCUUCCUGCCCUCUGUGGAAGGCAUCUGAGGAAGAGACUGGAUUUUGUAGCAACAUGUUAUUCUCAUUAUAAACUUUAUCAUUGGAAUACUAAAGCCAAAUCAUCCCCCAUCUCCUUGAUCAGGAUACCCACUUAAUCUAGGCAGCUACACAAUUGUGAGAGCCUUUGUUUUUUUCUGCUGAAACAUCCUUAAAAAGAUACCUCACAACCCAAGAUUUGGCUUUUCUUAAAUACGAUUUUUAAUUUUUUUCAUUUCUAUCUAGAGAUUUAAUUGGAAAUGGAAAAUCAUCAAUUUUCCAAUUAAAUGUCUGUUCCAAUCAACAUUAUACCUUUUAGGUUGUCAUUGUCAUUUUUAAGUUUAAGCAACUUUAAGGAUUUUGAAUCUGGCUGCCUGUAAAUUAAAGGUGAAAGUAAUCAUUGUGUUGGAUUGGAACAUUUUGUCAAUUGAGAGUGGUUUCCUUGUUCUUAGUGUAUGAAAAGUUUAUUUUUCUAAUGUAGAUUAAUAAAGGAGAUAAAGAAAAACAAAA
rnacentral:lncRNA from 1 species